GUGCUUCAGCCCAGUCUCUCGAUCAAUUCGUCGGCACAGCCCAAACCCGCUCGUGUCGGAGCCAUUGCUCCGGUGCCGACGACGCGAGGUUCGAACUCGAGGCAACAAUUUCAGAAACCUUCCCUCUGCAAUUCAAUAAUUUAUACAUCAACGAUCAAAUUCGCGCUGGCGGUUCCUUCCCUUUUUCUUGGAUCUUUUGUUUGUUUGCAGAGAUUACUUCAAUGUUCCCCGUUUCUCUUCCAGUGGCGGUCUCGAUUAUUUGCCGGAACGCAAAACGUGCAUAUAGUUGUAUGUAUUUGUUUAUGUUUGUCUGAUGUUUUUGCGUGAUUGGUCCCGUUGAUUAACCUCUGGUUCUGGAAGAGUGGUCGUGGAAUUUGUAUAAUCCUGUUUAUUGAGGAUAAAAUGGAGUCUUAUUCGAUAGUCUAAGAUUCCAAGGGGGACUCUACGGUAUAGGGUUCGAGCUUCAAGCACGGUUACCCCUUUUUUAGUUGUUUUUUGAUGGAACAUAAGCCGGGGAUGGACAAAGGUUCAAGAUGCAACUGUGAGUUAAUUCACCAAGGGCACGGGUGUAAAAAGUCUCUGAAUAAGUUAGUAACUCAAUGCACCAAAUACGUUUGUAUUUGUGUUUAUCUUGUUCAGUGCAGGCAACUUUUGGUGAUUAGGCAACAUUUUGAUAUCAUGAAUCUGGUAUUUGCUGUACAUGAUUAAGCGAGACUGCUUUUUGAUUGAAUUAUAUUUACGGAGUGAUGUUCAAACUCUGCAACUCAAAAAAGGGUGUCCCCAGCGCACAACGCUUCCUGCUUUGUGAGGGUGUGCUACUAUUGUAUGAUACUUAUUAUGCUUAAUUUUUUCCUUAAGCAGAUGCUUUUAUGCCACUGUAUGUUGUGCAUGUCACUGACAUGGAGGGUGUAGCUUGUACUUAAAUUGAUAGAAUUGGUCCUUAAAGCCAAUCUCAAUAUUCCUGUCUUGGUCAUAAUUAGUUAGCUUAAUAAGCCCCUCUACAAUAUGAUUAUAGUUAGAUUGAUGAGUUGUUCACAUGCCUGCUUUAUUUGAAGUUUUUACAUAUUUUUAUAUAGGAAUGUAGAAAUGAGUGGGGUCAUGAUCAUGGAGGCUGUAAAUUGCACCAGUCUAUUAUGGUUGUAUUAGAAAUCAUGACAGAGUAAAUUGCUGCCCUAAUGGAUCUUUCCUUGCUGCUUCUCUGGACAAAUCAAACUCAAGGCCGAGUUUAUCCUAUCUAUAGAUUCUGUUGCUAUUAGAUACAUCCAUUAGUCAUUGUUCCAAUGCUGUUAUCUCCAUUCCUUGGUUAUUGUAAGGAUCAAGUUCCACACUAAGAGUGGGAUUCAUGGUGUUCAGUUAAAUCAGAAAAGGCAUGACCUGGGGGAGUUUAAUGCAAAACAAGGUUGUGAGCUCGUUUAGAUGGCCUCUCAACAAGUUUUUGGAUACUGAUCUAUUCUCCCCACUUUCUCUAACUAUUUUGUUUGUUUUUUCCUCAUCUCAAGUAUGUCAUUUCAGUUGCAGUAUCUAACAAGGAAACUUCCCUGUUCACUGAUUGAAAUUUUCAUAGUUGAUAAUUUCCAUAGAAAGUGGCCAAAGGUUUUGAUGAUUAUUUUUUUUUUUGGUGUAAAAAUCACGAGUAAAAGCUUUUUUCAUUAUUAUUGAUUAGAUCUGAGCUGUUUAUAGGAGGGGGAAAGGAACAAUAGUAGAAGAAUUUUGCUAUCUAUAACAAUAAAAGAAAAUUGCUUCGUGCUGGUCUUUGAUGUGUUGAGAGAAGAUGUAUGCUCUAUUGAAAAUCCUUGCAUUGUAUAACAUUUUUGCAUAUGGAGAUGGUGUAGUUGGGAACUACUGUUUCACGGCUUCUUAUUUCUUUUUAUUUAUCUUGUGUGUGUGAUUUCGUAGCUUGAAAUGGAAAUUGCUGGAGUUUGCUCCCAGCCUAGGGUGAUAGUGAAAAGGUGAACAAGGGUACUAUCUUUUAUAUAUGUCAAGUUUAGAAACAUAUUAGCCUCUACAGUUGACUCUUCAUAAUACAGGUAUCUUCCCCUUACAAUAAAAUGGUUAUGUUCUGCCCAACGUGCUUGGUUUUAGUUCCUCCAGCGCUUGUUUGGCAAUGAGGGAAUAAUGCAAGGAGAUAGAAAUUACUCCAUUACCCCUGUGGGUCCACCAAUCACCAUGCACCAUGUGUACUAAGGGAAACCAAUUUGAAGUUGCCACAUGUUUUCACUUGGGAGCGUCACGUGUCCCUUAGAUUUGACUCGACUCGGAUCUGAAUCAAUUAUUGACAUGGAAGAUUUAGGCGGACCUAGUCUACUCCUUUGGACUUGGUCAAUUGGGAAUUUGUCUAGUAGACUUGGCCUACCGAGAAUCUCUCUAAUAUCUUGAAAAUCUAUCCAACCACUCACAAUCUCAGCCCAAUGGUCAAACUACACCCUGGAUGUCACUCCAUGACAUCUAUAAAUAGGAAUCAACUCCCAGAGGUGUAACACACUAAUAUAAGCCUAUUCUAUAUUUGUUUACCUUUUCCUUACUAACUUGAUCAUUGGAGUUCUUUUGAGGGACAAAACCCCUGCCCUUGUAGGUACUUGGUUCGAGGCAAGACCUAGGUGAUCGGUCUAGCAAUAUCAUUUGGCUACAUGGGUUGUUACAUUAGUUGUUUCAUGUCCUUGUAUAUAAUGCCUUACACCUCAAAACAUGAGUGUACAAUUUUCUUAUCUUAUCCUUUUAUUGGUUAGAGUUGAGUUGCUUAUAGCAUUCCAUUCAUUUCUACAAAUGAAUCUCUUGCUAUAAUUUUUAAAAUUUUUAUUUCUUAUUUAUUCAUUUGGCAAUUGCUGCUCUAGGAUCUGUGAUGUUUCAAUUCAGCCACAAGUAGUACUCCUGAUGGCACAUUCCCAGGCUCUUUAUGAAAAAGAAACAACCUCUUCAUUUUUGAAGGGUCAUAAGAUUUUUUGAAAUGGAAAAAUGCAUUUGACAUUUUAUGUGAUAGUAAGAUUUCAUUAAGGCUAAAAAGAAAAUUUUAUAAGACAAAUAUAAGACUAGUUUUGUGGUAUGGCACAAAAUGUUGGGUAGUAGAACACCAACAUUUGCAAAAUAUAAGUGUAACAAAAAUGAGAAUGUUAAGAUGGGAUGUAUGACUAUUUAAGAAAAGAUAAAAUUAUAAAUGAGGUUAUUCAUAAUAAGGUCAAUGUGGCUCCUAUUGAAGGUAGGAUGCAUGAGAAACGAUAAGAUAGUUUAGCCAUGUGAGAAGAAGACCAGUAGAGUGUCAAGACCAUGGGGCUAUAGCAGUAAUUGCAGCUUGUUGCAAUUAUUGCAUUGUAUUUUGUCUCUUACAAUUUGUAACUUUUUCAGUUUACAAUUACAACUUAAAGCAACUUGUAACUGAAAGUUAGAAGGCCUAUAAAUAGGCCACUAAAUGGAGAAUGGGGGAUUAUGAUGUGAAAUAACAAGAAUUCAUUCUCUCUAAUUCUCUCUGUCUUCUUUCUCUCUCUCAGCUCUUUCUCUUUGUUUUUCCUAUUCUUUAUGUUCUCUUUCUUUCUCUCUCUGUUAUUUCUGAUCUCUCUCUAUUUCUCGAUUACUUUUUUUUCCUAAAAACCUAAGAAACCCUGGGUCAGGUCCAGGAACCUGACAUUUGGUAUCAGAGUAGCCGAUCCUCGGUUGCUAUUUCAGAAGCGGAUCUAGGUGAUUCUUGGAGGCAGUCUCAGAGGCGAGCAGUGGAGAUGGCCGAAUGAAUCAAGGAAAUUUUUGCUAAUUUUGGCCAAAAGCUGGACAAAAUUUUGAAUAGGUUAUCAAAAAUGCUUCAGGCCAGCCUACCAGUGGAUUUUCCUCCAAGAUCCACUGCAAAAUCUAUUUUUACAGGUGCUGGAAUCCUUCCUCAGACUUCUGACUUACAGGAAGCUGAGGAACAAUCUGAAUUGGACUAGUCAUUUGUAACUCAAGAUUCUGGUGAUUUCUUGGUAAAAAACAUUGGUUCAUUAGAUAUUCCGGCUAUAAAUCAUGUCGGAGAUGGAAGUUGCGAUGAAGAGAUCUUUCAUGCAUCUGAUGAGAUGUGUGCCCUUGGGAUUUAUUCUAGGCUGGAUCAAGUUUUUGACACUCCACAUGCUGCGAAAGAAGUUCUAAUUGAGCAAUUCGGGCUGGAACACUCUUAUAUUGGUUCCAGGGAAACUGAUUGUAGGGCUGAUGAGGUCCUAAGAUUGGGAAUUUUGUAACUUUGGACUCCAGAAAAUCAUUGCAGAUGGUCUAAAUCUAGAUAUGGAGGUCAUGUUUCAGCCAUUGUGGAACCUGCGGAACAUUUUUGUCUCUUCCUAUGCAAUCAGGAUGUUGGGGAAGUUGAGAGGCUUAGGUUCAGAAAAAAAGGAACUUGAUGAAACUAUUGAAGUCCUAGAUGGAAGUUUGAAGUUUCUUCAGAUUGAAAUAAGACAUGCAGAGAAUGAAGCAGCUAAACUUCUCAGGCAGCACGAGAAGAUUAUAAAUAUUGUACAACUUGAGAAGAGAAAAUGGCGUGACAUGGAAAACCGUUUAAUCAAAGGAAGAGAAAGAGGCAUGCAGAAUCAAUUGCCAUAAUCACUCCCGAACUUUACUAUGAUUUCUUGGGGAUAAGAAAUCUUUUAAGGAGAGGGGAUUGUCAUGACCCUAGGGCUAUAACAGUAAUUGCAGCUUAUUGCAAUUACUGCAUUGUAGUUUUUCAUUUACAAUUUGUAACUUUUCCAGUUUGCUUUUCUUCCUAAAAACCUAAGAAACCCUAGGUCACAUAGAGGCUCCUGUGAGGAGACUAGAUGAAAUGGACCAAAUAUUUAUUAAAAGAGGUAGAGAAAGACUUAAACUUAAUUUGACUUCUAAAAUGAUCCAGUCUUUCAUUCUUUUUCCUGAUUGUUUUGUGAUCUAAAAAAAAUUCUUCAAUACUUCUAGUGCUACAUGCGUUCCUCCUAUUUUUUGCCUGUUUCAAGCCUAGGUAAAGGACGGUUGCAUUAGGUAGUUGAUAGCCAACAUAAAACCUGUCAGAUCAAAACCUUAUGAAUAGGUAAAUGAAUAUGCCACUGUAAAAUCUCUUUAGAGCUAAAAGAAAAGUUUUAUUGAAUGACUAUAAGACCAUAUUUGUUGUAUGACUCAAAAUGUUGGACAAUUAAGCGCCAACAUGUGUAAAAUGUGAUCAUAUCAUUUACAGAAACAAUUAUAGGAUGAUUUCAAAUUUAUAUAUUACUUUUAACUCGGGAACAAUAAUUUCAGACAUUAUUUUGGUAGAAACUGUAGCUUCUCAGAAGUUUUCAAUUCACGAAUACAUUUUUGUUAUAUAGUUUUAUUUUUAUGAGUUUUCAAUAUCAGUCAUCUGCCUCACAUCCAUUGGAACUGCAAUGUUGCUUUACUUUGUAUCAUUAAUUCUUAAGUAUGGUUAUAUGUAUUGCCAAAUCUUUGCUACCUUUGUCUGAAAACAUUGUCGUGGAGUUCUACCCAUGCAUAGAUAUUUACUGGUAAUUGCGAACAGUUAUCCUGUGUGGAGUUUCUUUUGGCCAUGGAAAUCUAUGUUUUACCAAUAGCCUGCUUGAGAAAUUCUUUAAGUGGUUCUAAUUUUAAACCUUAUCAAAACUGGUGGAUAAAUGAUUCAUUUUGACUAUCACAGUUUUUCAAUUUUAGACAGGAUAUUGUUUACCCCAAAAUUCUUUGCCUCUUUUCUUCCAUUGACUGAGACUUGCACAUCUUGAUUCAAACAUUAUUCCUUACACUUGAUAUGGUGACCAUCCGAUGUCUAUGUUAACCAUGAUCUAGGGAUAAAGGAAUUAUGAUGAUGAAAGGUUUUGGGGUUACUAGUUCUUGUUUGUAUGUUGUAGCAGAUGAAUUACAACUACCGUGAAUUUGUGGAAAACAGGUGAGCCUGCUUUAAUCAGGGGUUUGCAUUUUUAAGGGAACUUCAUUUCCUUCCUCUUGGAGCAGAGAACGUCCUUUAUCUUUCUAUAUAGCAUGAGUUUGGAAAUGGACAUGGCCUAGGAUUUGUCAGUGUGAUUUUUUGGCUUUUAUCUCCAUAUUUAUUUGAUGGGACAAAGAUAUUUUACUGUUCAAACUUGAAUAAGAAAGUGGAUGGUCCAGUUGAAGAAGCUCAGCAAAUAUGCAUGGAUAUGCUGACCACCACGUUAUCUUAUUUUAUGCUAUGUUCUUCCCAUGCUUGAUGUGUUUCAACUUCAUGGAUAUGUUUGAGCUAGAUUUGCCUAAGGCAUGUCAAGAUUCUCUUAGAUGUGCUUGUUUGACCAUAAGUGUGUUUAACAAGGUGUUGAAGUGUACUGGGUGAGAACUCUUCAUUUAUUUACUUCACAUUCCUAUUGUUUGCAUUCUUCUUUUCUGGAAAUGAUGGAAUCAAUCCUGUGUUUGAAAUUGAGGCUCCAACUGUGUACAUGGUUCUCUUUAUCGGACAAGUAUUUUCCCUUCUUUUUCUGUUUUGGUAUUUGAUUGCAUUAGUAUUUGCUGUUGCUUAGUUUUUGCUCUUAUGCCUUGAAGGCUCUUCUUCUAUAAAUGACUGACUGAUUCACCAGUACUUUUCCUCUCUUCUCAAUUAAAUUCCUUUAUUUGGAAUCAUGAACAAAGUCAAUAUUCGAAGGAGAUGGUUUUUGUUUUCUUCUAUCCUUUUCCCUCCUUUUUUUGGCUUGCGAUCAGUACAUUUAUUGAAGUGUCACAUAUUGUAUCAUAUUGGAGGUUUCCAGUUGUAACCAGUAGGAGUUGCUUCUUCUGUGAACCUAUUUUCUUAUGAUAAAAGUCCUUAUCUGCUAGCCAUUCGAUGAUAAGGAGAAAACUAGUUUUUGAAUAGUGGUCGAUUUGUUUUUUCUGUUGAGUGUGUUUCAUUAUUCUUUUCAGCAGUACAAUCCCCCAAGAACUUUAGAGGCUUUAAUACUGCAUUCAGGUUUACUAGUGUGGGCGUAUGUGCUUAAUUGUAAAUCUGUAAGAUAGAGCAUCUGCUGUUGAAGAAAAGUAGAUAUUACAUUUUAAUGGUAUUUUUCAUACUGUUAUUUAAAUGAAAAGGGGUACACUCUAGUGUGCUUUAUAUGUGUUGUGCAUUUUUCAUUGUUCCAGGAAUAAAUGCUAUGGAGUUAUUUAUGAUCCAUUUGAUGGCAAAUUUGCUUCAACUGCUGCAAUUUGAGUUGGAAGCAGUCUUUAUGCUGCAGGUAAUGAUCUUCUCAAGUUGGAAAAUGUUGCUGGGACUUGAUGCAGCAGAAUGCGUGCUCUUACAACUGAGUUGCAUUCUACAUAUAUAUGCUCUCUCUCUCUCUCUCUCAAGUGCACACUCAUGCACCCAUAUGCUGUUUUCUCCACUCCUCGUUGCGUCUCAGAAGUUAAUACUUCAUCUAGAUAUGGCAUUUUAUAACCGUCAAGAUUUUCAAUCAUGGUUUCUCCAACUUGUAAGUGGCAAUGGAAAACUCGGUUUCAUAAGUUGCUCAUAUUCUCCAAUAUUUUCUGGUGACUAUGAUUUGCUAAUUGUGGUGUGACAUUGAUAAUUAUUACUGUUUAUAUCCAGAGUUGUUAACAACCAAAUCUUUGUAGACUUGUUAAAACUCACACUUGAUGUAAAUUUUCUGAUUGCCAUAGAGAUCUUGCGCCAAACUGCCAUGCCAUCCUGUUUAAGAAUAUCAUGUUAUUCCACUGGUUUUAGAUCCAUGUAAGUGAACAGGGGGGAAAAAAACCUGAAGGUCAAAUUCCUGAUACUUCCGGUGGCAGUUAGAAAGGUAUAUGACUUCCCUGUUCAUUUAGUUCUGUGAAGGUUGAAAGAGCUGAGUGAGAAAGAACACCCUAUUACUUUUUUUUUUUUUUCCUGCUAGGUGAUAGAAGUUACUUAUUGCUUGAUUUUCUUUUCUUUUUUAAGUGAGGUAAUAUCCGAAAGUGCUUGGUACCUUAUCAGGGGAGCUAGUGCUUCUGUUUUACUGCCAUUUAGUGCAUACAUAUGUUACCUUAUCAGUGAUAGGUAAUAUCUGUGUAUGUUCCUUGAUCUUUUCUGUCAAAACAUAAAUUGCAAACACCUAGCAAAAACUCAAUCAAUUUGGUUAUUUAUAAAUUUUUGUUCAGUUCCAAUUUUGAUUCUUUUGAAGCAUUGUUAUUUCUUUGCCCACUCCUCAAUAUGAAUGGGCUUUUCUAAAUUCCCUUUCAUCUUGAAAUUUGUCUCUCUUGCUUUUCAUCUUUCCCCCCCUGCUUGCUGAUGUUUAUGGAAUUGCAUGUGCAUGCUUUACCAACCUUUGCAUCUAUAUUUUAACUCUUUUUAUGUCCACAACGUUGAUCAGUGUGAAUACUUGCAAAUCUCUUUGUUGUCCAUGAAUAAACAGCCAUUUUAUAUUAUCUUCAAAAACUCCACUAUUAACGGUCUUCUCCCCGAUACAGGAAUUUUAAGGAACAAGGAUGCUCUUCAUGUAUUUAUUGCGAGUGUUAUGUACAUAACUGAAAUUUUUUAUGUUAUAUUUCCUGAGCCAGGCUUCGAGAACAUGCUGGAUCAACAUUUGGAUAAGAACUUUAACGGGCCUACUGCCAAAGGGUAUCUAUUGAGAUGGACUUCCAUAUAGAUAUUGGUCCAGCCAACAUUUCUGAGAGUGCAAACAGAUUCACAAUCACUGCGAAGGUUGACGAAUGAGUGAACUUUAAAGAAUAUAUAAACGAUGCCUCCAGUGCAUGAGGCUCCCCUCUUUGCAAGUUUUGAGAGAGGCUUGUUUUUGUAUGCAGCCGUAACAUUGCUUUGCAAAUAGGCUAUUUCUACAACGCGAAUUCAUGAUAUAUCAAUCACAAAAGUGCAACCUUAGCCUUGCUACCAACGAGCAACCUUACUUCAGAUAAUAAGGCUAUUCCAAAGAUCCGGAGAACUUGAAUUUUUGUAUUAAUAUGAGAGAAGUUAGGUUGUGUCUAAGCAUAGCGUUGAUGUUUGGAAUUUAGCUUGCUAACUAGCAUCUUUUGGUUGCUAUAGGAAGGGAGAUAUUACCAGUGUCUCAAAGUUUAGCCAUGUAGCUCACAAGUGCAUGAAUUCUUUCAGAUGUAGACAAAACCUUCAUCUACAAAUUGUUCUUUAGAAAUAAAUAAGUGAAAGCCUUUCUGGCUAAUGAUGUUGAAGAAUAGUUUUAUUAUUAUUAUUUUUUUCAGUUUCUCUUUUUUUAAAGCUUCAUAUAGCUGCAGUUCCUGUGAAAUUUAAAAAUGGACUCGACAGUUAGUGGCAAGCCAAAGAACUGUCGUAGAUGAAGCUGGGAGAGACCACAAGAAAGAAAGAUCCAUAUCACUAUGCAAUCUUUUUGAGUCUUGUUUUGCUAAAAAAGAGAGUUGUGGGAAAGAAGAAGUUGCAUGGGAUUUGCAGCAGAAGGGAGAAAGAAGAGAGAGGAGGCACAGGAAAAAAAGGAUGUGGUGAUUAUUAGCAGGGAAGGUAUAUAGGAAGAAGAAAAAGAAAGAAAAGUUUAGUUAUGUGGAGAUGAGAUGAGAUUCCCUCAUGGAAGAUGACACAUGCAAGUGCACUGAGAGAUAGGAAGAGGAGUAAGGAAUAGAAGGGAACCUUUUGGUUUGGCUUCUUGUGCUGCUAAGCCAGAUAAAAAGAUGCAGUCUUUUUCACUGGGCAAACUGGCAUGUAGUUUGUACCUUAACCCUGCAUCUCUUAUAUCUACUACUUUUAAAAAGCUUGGAUAUACUAUGACCUCUCCUUUGAUCAAUCCCCAGGUCCCCGCCCCACAACCCCACCAAAAAAAAAAAAAAAAAAAAAGAGAUCAACCUCUCCAUCUAAAUGGUGAAUAUACUUCUCUCUUUAUAUCAAUUAAUUUGUUUUUUUUUUUAUUCCUUUGGUGGCUGGUGUUUAGGUCUUUAAUUUCUUUCUCUCUAUCAUGUCUAUACUUUCUUUGAUGCAGUGUAGUGUGUAGCUGAAAGCCCAUGAUUGUAACAUUCU